AUGAUAUUUGUAGACCUGAUAAUCCUUCUUUUCCUCAUCAGGAUAUACGUUUUUCUGUGGAUUGUCAAAAUGUAAAAGACAACUCCAGAAUUCCAGAAGCUUUCCCUCAGCAGAAGAUGAUGUCUAUUCCAUUGAUGACCAACACCUGAUUUCACCUGAAGUGUAGUUGACUAUUCCAUUGAAGUAAGGAAUGUUGAUUGGACUUUGGGUUUGGUAUAAACACAAGGCUGAGAAAGAAAAAAGAACAAAGAAAACAAUUAAUCACAAGGUCGUAAGAACUUACAUCCUUCUUUGUUUGCAGUGUGUUAAAAUUACUUAUGUAUUGAUUGUUCAUCUUAUAUUUUGUUCUCUUUUACACUUGGCACAUGAUUUUGACAAAAUACUUUAUAUUUCCAGAAAAUAUGAGGAGAUCUGUGCACCCCUGGUUGAAGAAUUUUGUUACAUUGCUUAUAGGGUCCCUUAUUGAUAACACAUGUUUUAAGGAAAGAGUGGGCAGUAAAGGCGCGCAAAUCAUAUAGCCAAAAUGAUAUUGACGAGGUGUGCAUUGAAGUGGCUGAUUAUAUACAGAGUUUGGUGUAAGACUUUUGGCUUCCAUGAUUUUGAGUAAGGCUAGUUUUUGCUUGAAGCAAAGUUUGGUGUAGAACGUACUUUUGUAGUUGGUUGCUAAUAUGUUUCUAGGCUAGCCUUUGUAGGUUUUGGGUUUUAUUUUGUGAAUUAUGUUGAAUCAUGAAUUUGGAAAGAAAAUUAAUGGAAAGCCCCAAUUUUUGGGUG